GAUGAGCGCUGGCGGCGUGCCUAAUACAUGCAAGUCGAGCGAACGGACGAGAAGCUUGCUUCUCUGAUGUUAGCGGCGGACGGGUGAGUAACACGUGGAUAACCUACCUAUAAGACUGGGAUAACUUCGGGAAACCGUAGCUAAUACCGGAUAAUAUUUUGAACCGCAUGGUUCAAAAGUGAAAGACGGUCUUGCUGUCACUUAUAGAUGGAUCCGCGCUGCAUUAGCUAGUUGGUAAGGUAACGGCUUACCAAGGCAACGAUGCAUAGCCGACCUGAGAGGGUGAUCGGCCACACUGGAACUGAGACACGGUCCAGACUCCUACGGGAGGCAGCAGUGGGGAAUCUUCCGCAAUGGGCGAAAGCCUGACGGAGCAACGCCGCGUGAGUGAUGAAGGUCUUCGGAUCGUAAAACUCUGUUAUUAGGGAAGAACAUAUGUGUAAGUAACUGUGCACAUCUUGACGGUACCUAAUCAGAAAGCCACGGCUAACUACGUG
rnacentral:rRNA from 1 species